GAAAAAUGGAAUGAAGCCUAUAUGGUCCGAAAUAUAUUUGUAUUGACAUGUAUAUUGCAUCAGAUGUCUCGUUAGGCUUUUUAUCUCUAAGGAGUAUCUGUUCCCCUUUCCCUUCGGGGUAUCUGUUUCUCCCUCCCUUAUUUUUCUUGGAAAGACGUAAGAGGACCACUCUCGGUAGAUAACGACGUACCCUCUGACGAGAGUGGUAUCGCACUAUCUGCAGGGGUCACCCAUUGCUAAGUAAUGUCGCAACUAUAGAUAUCUGCUAGGGCCACUAUGGCUGUACGACCAUGGUCAUAGAUCGUACCAUGGUUUGGCCAGUCAAAAAUGGGUCUGAGCAAAUUGUCGUAUCUGUAUCUAAUUUGGUCAUUCCACUUGAAUAGUUAAAAAUCUGUAUCUUUCCUU
rnacentral:lncRNA from 1 species